UAUUUAGUUUUCCGCCAAAAAACAAUUGUAUUGUGCUUAAUCAACUUAAACUAUUUCAUUUUCAAUUUUACUUAAUUAUCAAUCGUUAAACUAAUGUAAAGGGUUUAAUUUCGUCAUUCAAAAAAAACCGGAAGUGACGAUUUCCAACGCAUUUGAUGAUGGCGCGGAGGAGAGCAAGAGGUACCGGUCAGAUUUGUGCAGAAUUUGAGACAUACAGAAUUACCAUAGGCCCAUUAGAAUCAACAAUCUUUGCCAAUCUGGAUCCGCACUACAAAACUUAUGAAGAUAUUUGCAUACUGAAUAAGAGUCCUUGGACAAAUAAUGAAACCCUCUUGGUGCCCACUACACAGGCAGGGGUGUCCAGACCUGCUCUUGGAAAGCCAGUGUUCUGUGGAGUAUAGCUCUAACACACCUGCCUGGAACUUCUAGUAAGACUUUUUUGUUUUAAAAUUCCCAAGAACCUUGAUUAGCUGGUUCAGGUGUGUUUAAAUGGCUACAUCACCCAAAAAUAAACAUGUCAGUAAUUACUCACCCUCAUGUCGUU